rnacentral:rRNA from 1 species
UGGGGAAUAUUGGACAAUGGGCGAAAGCCUGAUCCAGCCAUGCCGCGUGUGUGAAGAAGGUCUUCGGAUUGUAAAGCACUUUAAGUUGGGAGGAAGGGCAGUAAGCGAAUACCUUGCUGUUUUGACGUUACCGACAGAAUAAGCACCGGCUAACUCUGUGCCAGCAGCCGCGGUAAUACAGAGGGUGCAAGCGUUAAUCGGAAUUACUGGGCGUAAAGCGCGCGUAGGUGGUUCGUUAAGUUGAAUGUGAAAGCCCCGGGCUCAACCUGGGAACUGCAUUCAAAACUGGCGAGCUAGAGUAGGGCAGAGGGUGGUGGAAUUUCCUGUGUAGCGGUGAAAUGCGUAGAUAUAGGAAGGAACACCAGUGGCGAGGGCGACCACCUGGGCUCAUACUGACACUGAGGUGCGAAAGCGUGGGGAGCAAACAGG